rnacentral:rRNA from 1 species
CCCGAAGUCCGUGUCGGAACCCGCAAGGGCCAAGCGGCCGAAGGCGAGCAGUCAUGACUGGGGCG